GAUGAAGAACGUAGCGAAAUGCGAUAAGUAAUGUGAAUUGCAGAAUUCAGUGAAUCAUCGAAUCUUUGAACGCACAUUGCGCCCCCUGGUAUUCCGGGGGGCAUGCCUGUCCGAGCGUCAUUGCUGCCCUCAAGCACGGCUUGUGUGUUGGGCCUCCGUCCUCCUCCCGGGGGACGGGCCCGAAAGGCAGCGGCGGCACCGCGUCCGGUCCUCGAGCGUAUGGGGCUUCGUCACCCGCUCUUGUAGGCCCGGCCGGCGCUUGCCGACACAUCAAUCUUUUUUCCAGGUUGACCUCGGAUCAGGUAGGGAUACCUGCUGAACUUAAGCAUAUCAAUAAGCGGAGGA
rnacentral:misc_RNA from 1 species